rnacentral:rRNA from 1 species
GAUGAACGCUGGCGGCGUGCCUAAUACAUGCAAGUCGAGCGAACAGACGAGGAGCUUGCUCCUCUGACGUUAGCGGCGGACGGGUGAGUAACACGUGGAUAACCUACCUAUAAGACUGGGAUAACUUCGGGAAACCGGAGCUAAUACCGGAUAAUAUAUUGAACCGCAUGGUUCAAUAGUGAAAUACGGUUUUUCUGUCACCUAUAGAUUGAUCCGCGCCGCAUUAGCUAGUUGGUAAGGUAACGGCUUACCAAGGCAACGAUGCGUAUCCGACCUCAGAGGGUGAUCGGCGACACUGGAACUGAGACACGGACCAGACGCCUACGGGAGGCAGCAGUAGGGAAUCUGCCGCAAUGGGCGAAAGCAUGACGGAGCAACGGCGCGUGAGUGAUGAAGGUCUUCGGAUCGUAAAACUCUGUUAUUAGGGAAGAACAAAUGUGUAAGUAACUAUGCACGUAUUGACGGUACCUAAUCAGAAAGCCACGGCUAACUACGUG